rnacentral:rRNA from 2 species
AGAGUGUUUAAAGCAGGCUAACGCUUGAAUACAUUAGCAUGGAAUAAUGAAUAGGACGUUCGAUCUAUUUUGUUGGUUUCUAAGAUUGACGUAAUGAUUAAUAGGGAUAGUUGGGGGCAUUAGUAUUCAAUUGUCAGAGGUGAAAUUCUUGGAUUUAUUGAAGACUAACUACUGCGAAAGCAUUUGCCAAGGAUGUUUUCAUUAAUCAAGAACGAAAGUUAGGAGAUCGAAGACGAUCAGAUACCGUCGUAGUCUUAACCAUAAACUAUGCCGACUAGGGAUCGGACGACGUUAAAUAAAUGACUCGUUCGGCGCCUUACGGGAAAC